UACGUAGGGGGCAAGCGUUGUCCGGAUUUAUUGGGCGUAAAGAGCGUGUAGGCGGUUCGGUAGGUCCGUUGUGAAAACUCGAGGCUCAACCUCGAGACGCCGAUGGAAACCCUCGAACUAGAGUCCGGAAGAGGAGAAUGGAAUUCCUGGUGUAGCGGUGAAAUUCGCAGAUAUCAGGAGGAACACCAAUGGCGAAGGCAGAUCUCUGGGCCGUAACUGACGCUGAGGAGCGAAAGCAUGGGGAGCGAACAGG
rnacentral:rRNA from 1 species